AGUCAUCUUCUUCAAGCUCUCAGGUUUGGGGUUGGGUUUGGUUUGUUUCUUUUUAAGCCCUGAGAAAUCCUCUUGGUUCGUGUUUGCAAUCCAGCCCUGCUGGGGUUGGUAUGGUCAAGAAGGCAGAGGAGCCUGAGUUAAUUAAAUCAACAGCUAAGAGUGGAGGUUACCCACAAAAGUGAACCUUGGUGCCCCUAAAACCACUGACCAGAGAAUGGCUGGAGAGGAAAAAAAAACAAAACCACAGUUGGAGUGAAAUGGAAAAAGAAUUCUUCAGCUCUAUAUCACUUCAGCCAGCCACAGGACAAGCUGGGAAAGUCGAUACAGGAGGUGCCUGGGGACCCGAUCCAACUCUCCCAGCCCUGUCGCCGCGGGAGAUGAACUCCAGCUGCCGCUUCAGGUCAAGAGCUGUGGUUUGCAACCAGUUAUGCUAAUGAAGCCUGUGGCAUGCCCAGCCUCAUCUGGCUCCAUGCCAGCACCAGAGGAGGAUUUGACCCACACCACUAAGAGCUUUCCCCAGCUAACCGACCCGGCAGUGGGACCAGCGAGUCCCUGCUGCCUCCCACCCAGCAGGCAGCCUGGAGGUCACAGACCCACAAGGCUGAAGGUCACAGGCAGGUUUUUCCAGUGCCCAAAACCCUCCACACAUCCUGAGCCACAUGGCUGGUGGGAUGGUUGUGUGGCCACUGGCUGGCAUGGAGCAGCUGUGCCCAUCUUGGCCUCAGUCCUCAAUGUGCUGUGGGUGGAAGGAGCUCCUGGGCUGAAGACCCCCACCCGGCACCGAGGCGUCUCCUGCGCAGGGCUGCCUCCCUCUACCCAGCACUGAAGGAAGAGCAAAGAGGCAGGAGGAGCCAUAUUUACAUCAUGAAGCCACAGCUCCCUCCAAUCCUGACAAAGGGCCUUGGGUUGAGCAGAAAAAUCCCACUACCAAGGAGGGGAAAUUGUGGUGGUACCAGCAGAACACUAAAGCAAUUAGCGGGCAGUGCUGCUGGGCUCCUCCGUCAGCCUCUGUGGUCACCCCCACUGAAUGAAACCCCAUCCCAGGGAAGACACAUCAGCUGUGACCUCCUCAUCCUUCACACUGGCCACAGGCACACCACAGUGGUGCCCAGAGUGGUUCAAGGCAUUAAGGAAAAUGACUUCUUGCAGGAGAAAGCCUAAAUGAGAAGGGAAAAAAAAAACACAAAGCGCAAACCCAACUGACCCAACCCAGCCAGGCUGCCGUGGGGGUGGGACUGUGGUUUCUCCUUCCCUGCUUGGGUUUGCAUUACUGGUGUUGGGGUGAAGUCUGCUCUUAAUGAGGCUUUUCAUUAGAGGCUUUCUGCCUUGGGAGAGAGUGGUGGCUGUGGGAGGCUUUUUGUUGCAGGCUGGGAUGGACUGGAGCGGGUUUGGGUUUGCCGUGGCGCCGCGGUGAGCGCUCCCGCUGCAGCCUGGGCCCCACCAGGGCAAGGUUUGGUCCCUUCCCUGCCUGCAAACACUUUGUGACCCCCUCCCUGGUCUCAUGGAAUGGCUCAGGUUGGAAGGGAGCUCAGACAUCAUCUGCUCCAGCCUCUCACCUCUCAACUAGAUUUGGCUGCUCAAGGCCAUGAACCCCUUCAGGCAGGAGGCAGCCACAGCCUCCCUGGACAGCCU